rnacentral:rRNA from 1 species
GGGUCAGUAGGUUGGUCGUGCCACCGGUACGUACUGGUCUCACUGAUUCCUCCUUCCUGAAGAACCGUAAUGCCAUUAAUUUGGUGUUGCGGGGAAACAGGACUGUUACUUUGAAAAAAUUACAGUGUUUAAAGCAAGCUAACGCUUGAAUACAUUAGCAUGGAAUAAUGAAAUAGGACGAUCGAUCCUAUUUUGUUGGUUUCUAGGAUUGACGUA